GAAAUGCGAUAAGUAAUGUGAAUUGCAGAAUUCAGUGAAUCAUCGAAUCUUUGAACGCACAUUGCGCCCGCCAGUAUUCUGGCGGGCAUGCCUGUCCGAGCGUCAUUUCAACCCUCGAACCCCUCCGGGGGUCGGCGUUGGGGAUCGGCCCUCCCUUAGCGGGUGGCCGUCUCCGAAAUACAGUGGCGGUCUCGCCGCAGCCUCUCCUGCGCAGUAGUUUGCACACUCGCAUCGGGAGCGCGGCGCGUCCACAGCCGUUAAACACCCAACUUCUGAAAUGUUGACCUCGGAUCAGGUAGGAAUACCCGCUGAACUUAA
rnacentral:rRNA from 1 species